rnacentral:rRNA from 1 species
UUGAACGCUGGCGGAAUGCUUUACACAUGGCAAGUCGAACGGCAGCACGGACUUCGGGUCUGGUGGCGAGUGGCGAACGGGUGAGUAAUAUAUCGGAACGUGCCCAGUCGUGGGGGAUAACGUAGUGAAAAUUACGCUAAUACCGCAUACGCCCUGAGGGGGAAAGCGGGGGAUCGAAAGACCUCGCGCGAUUGGAGCGGCCGAUAUCAGGAUUAGGUAGUUGGUGGGGUAAAGGCUCACCAAGCCAACGAUCUGUAGCUGGUCUGAGAGGACGACCAGCCACACUGGAACUGAGACACGGUCCAGACUCCUACGGGAGGCAGCAGUGGGGAAUAUUGCACAAUGGGGGAAACCCUGAUGCAGCCAUGCCGCGUGUGUGAAGAAGGCCUUCGGGUUGUAAAGCACUUUCAGCGAGGAGGAAAGGUCAGUAGCUAAUAUCUGCUGGCUGUGACGUUACUCGCAGAAGAAGCACCGACUAACUCCGUG